rnacentral:sRNA from 1 species
GACUGGUCUGAAGGUGAUGAAUUAUCUCAAGUCACUGUCAUAGUUCAAACUCCUUGCUGUGUAAUCAUAAGUGUACUAGACUAGUCUUAA